AUUGAACGCUGGCGGCAGGCCUAACACAUGCAAGUCGAACGAGUGGCGGACGGGUGAGUAAUGUCUGGGAAACUGCCUGAUGGAGGGGGAUAACUCCUGGAAACGGUAGCUAAUACCGCAUACCAUCAGAUGUGCCCAGAUGGGAUUAGCUUGUUGGUGAGGUAACGGCUCACCAAGGCGACGAUCCCUAGCUGGUCUGAGAGGGUGACCAGCCACACUGGAACUGGGACACAGUCCAGACUCCUACGGGAGGCAGCAGUGAGGAAUAUUGCACAAUAGGCGCAAGCCUGAUGCGGCCAUGCCGCGUGUAUGGAGACGACCUUCGGGUUGUGAAGUACUUUCAGCGUGGAGGCGUUACCCGCAGAGGAAGCACCGGCUAGCUCCGUGCCAGCAGCCGCGGUAAUUC
rnacentral:rRNA from 1 species